rnacentral:lncRNA from 13 species
GUGAUGCUGGCUCCUCUUUGCCUUCUGCCAUGAGUGGAAGCUUCCUGAAGCCCUCACCAGACGCAGAUGCUGGCCCGAUGCUUCUUGUACAGCCUGCAGAACUGUGAGCCAAUUUGACAAUGGCAAUGGCAAUUAGCUAAUGUUCUAUUGUAUUCAGUGACGUCAUGAUAGGACAGAAGGAACAAGCCUACGUCCCUGUUGGAAGCCGGAAAGGUUGUGCUUCUACUCCUGGCUGGCUCCUGCUCCUGCUCCUCCCUCAGGUGUUCUGGUCCGGUUUUUCAGCUCUGAUCUCACAGCAUAUCAUCCAUCCUUCUCACACUCCUUCUCGUGGACAUCUUCAUUCUUUGACGACGUUAAACUCACGCCUACUUCUGUGCUCACAUUGUUCAUUAUUUCCGAAAUCUUCUUUGCCAGAUUCUUCCAUAUCUGACGCUUUUUUUAUCAUUUAGCUUUCAGCUGAAAUGUUUACUCCAGUUAAGAAUCUUCCCUAACCUUCAUAUCUGCACACCACACCAUUUUGUAUUGCAUUGUUAAUAGCAUUUAUUACUACAAAUAUUAUAUUACUCAUUGGUUCCCUCAAUUAUUGUUUGUCUCUCCCAACAAAAGUUAAGCUUCAGCAGAGCAGUGAUCUUGUCCACCUCAUUCAUUACUCUAUUGCCAAUGCCCAGAACAGUGCCGGACACAUACCGUGAAUCAGGGCAUGAAAAGCUGCAUUAAAUUCAGAAUAAUUGUGUAUACUCCACAGGGCUCAAAUUGCUUCUCCUCCACAAGAGACACACAGGCCUGUGACUGGCUGUCAACCCAAGUGAUACUUUACUGGGACUCACAGUGGCCUCUGCUCCUGCAGUUCAGGAGCCAGUUGACUAUAGUAAGUCUUCAAUUAAUGGUGGCUGGUCAUUGUGAUUUGAUACUCAAGAUUCUACCUUACGCAUUUUUAUCUAAUGUUCUUCACUUCUUGAGCAUGUAUUAUUUUAAGUGAACUUUAGGAUUCUUUUCUACUUUCCAAAAAUCUCUGACAGGGCUCUCCAGAAUUUCUUUACAUUUAUAGAUCAGUUUUGAAUUUAAUGUGGGCAGUAGAGGAAAAGAUCUGUAUUUUGACAUGCAAAAGGAUAAACGUAAUAUUGGAACAAUUUCCCACUGACUUACUUAACACCUGACAUACUUAAAUACCUCCUAAUAGGUUCCCUCAUAAGCAUUUUAAAAUUCACAAUUUUCGAAUAUUUAGUGGGAAGAAAACCCACAAGUUUUCCCAAAUGGCUUGUGAGAUUUUCUCAUAGGAAGAACUCCAAGAAUAUGUAAUAAGAGUCUACAUUUCCAUAAAAAGUAUCAGAUAUUUUGAUGUGUUGGUCAUAUCUAAGCCUUGAAACUAUAAUCAGAAAUGUGGUCUUUGGAGCUUUGUGUGAAAAACCAAUUAGUUUCAAAAUGAUUCCUUUAAAAUAUUUCUUAUGU